rnacentral:rRNA from 1 species
UACGUAGGUGGCAAGCGUUGUCCGGAUUUACUGGGCGUAAAGAGCGCGCAGGCGGUCGUUCAAGUCGCGUGUGAAAGCCCCCGGCUCAACUGGGGAGGGUCACUCGAUACUGAUCGACUCGAAGGCAGGAGAGGGAAGCGGAAUUCCCGGUGUAGUGGUGAAAUUCGUAGAUAUCGGGAGGAACACCGGUGGCGAAGGCGGCGACCUGGGUCGAGACUGACGCUGAGGCGCGAAAGCGUGGGGAGCAAACAGG